UAUGUAGUUUAAAAAGUAUACAGCUUAGACUUUCAGACAUGUAGAGCAAAGUAAUUUUUGACAUGAUAUAUGCUAUGCACAAAUCUAGAGUUGUCUCUGUUCUUCACCCAGAAGGCCCUGACUCACACAUAAAGACCAAAAACAAGAGAUCAUCAAAGACUAAGAGAAAUGAAUUGUGCAGAACCCAGAAAGAAAGACCUGAGCCAGACGAGCCUUAUGAUUCCAACUCAGAUGAAGGCCCUGACUCACGUAUAAAGACCAAAAACAAGAGAUCAUCAAAGACUGAGAGAAAUGGU